GAUGAACGCUAGCGGCAGGCCUAACACAUGCAAGUCGAGGGGUAGCAGGAUUAAGCUUGCUUAAUUGCUGACGACCGGCGCACGGGUGCGUAACGCGUAUGCAACCUACCUUAUACUGGGGUAUAGCCCGGAGAAAUUCGGAUUAAUCCCCCAUAGUACUAAUGAAUCGCAUGGUUUAUUAGUUAAAGCAUUGCGGUAUAAGAUGGGCGUGCGCCCUAUUAGCUAGAUGGUGAGGUAACGGCUCACCAUGGCUACGAUAGGUAGGGGGUCUGAGAGGGUCGUCCCCCACACUGGUACUGAGACACGGACCAGACUCCUACGGGAGGCAGCAGUGAGGAAUAUUGGUCAAUGGGCGCAAGCCUGAACCAGCCAUGCCGCGUGCAGGAAGAAUGCCCUAUGGGUUGUAAACUGCUUUUAUUUGGGAAUAAACCUCUUUACGUGUAGAGAGCUGAAGGUACCAAAUGAAUAAGCACCGGCUAACUCCGUGCCAGCCGCCGCGGUAA
rnacentral:rRNA from 1 species